ACGCCGCCCGGCCGCGGGUCGGACCGUGUGUCAGCAGCCCAGCGGGCGCUCGGGCUAGACAUGGCGGGCUGUGUGGCCCGGCGGGCGCUGACCGUGGGCAGUCGAUGGUGGUCCCGGUCGCUGACUGGGACCCGGGGGCCGAGGCCGUUCUGUGCGGCGGGUGGAGCUGGGGCCUUCCCUCCCGUGGCGACCACGACGACGCUGAGGCACCUCUCGUCCCGAAACCGACCAGAGGGCAAAGUUUUGGAGACAGUUGGUGUGUUCGAGGUGCCAAAACAGAAUGGAAAAUAUGAGACUGGACAGCUUUUCCUUCACAGUGUUUUUGGCUACCGAGGUGUCGUCCUGUUUCCCUGGCAGGCCAGACUUUAUGACCGGGAUGUGGCUUCUGCAGCCCCAGAAAAAGCAGAGAACCCUGCCGGCCACGGCUCGAAGGAGGUGAAAGGCAAAACUCACACUUACUACCAGGUGCUGAUUGAUGCCCGAGACUGUCCACAUAUAUCUCAGAGAUCUCAGACAGAAGCUGUGACUUUCUUGGCUAAUCACGACGACAGCCGGGCCCUCUAUGCCAUCCCAGGCCUGGAUUAUGUCAGCCAUGAAGACAUCCUCCCCUACACCUCCACUGAUCAGGUUCCUAUCCAGCAUGAGCUCUUUGAAAGAUUUCUUCUGUAUGACCAGACAAAAGCACCCCCUUUUGUGGGUCGGGAGACACUACGGGCCUGGCAGGAGAAGAAUCACCCCUGGCUGGAGCUCUCUGAUGUCCACCAGGAAACAACAGAGAAUAUCCGUGUCACCGUCAUCCCCUUCUACAUGGGCAUGAGGGAAGCCCAGAAUUCCCACGUCUACUGGUGGCGCUAUUGCAUCCGCUUGGAGAACCUCGACAGUGACGUGGUUCAGCUCCAGGAGCGACACUGGAGGAUAUUCAGUCUAUCCGGCACCUUGGAGACAGUGCGAGGCCGAGGGGUGGUGGGCAGGGAACCAGUGUUAUCCAAGGAGCAGCCCGCCUUCCAGUACAGCAGCCACGUCUCCCUGCAGGCCUCCAGUGGGCACAUGUGGGGCACUUUCCGCUUCGAGAGGCCUGAUGGUUCCCACUUUGACAUCCGGAUCCCUCCCUUCUCCCUGGAAAGCAAUAAAGACGAGAAGACACCGCCCUCAGGCCUUCACUGGUAGGCCAGCAGAGCCCCUGAGCACCCAGGCUCCGCCCCGAACAACAGCUCACAUCCCAUGAGAGUUGAUGCAGAACUCUGUAAUGGCCACAGUGGGUCUCUUAAUCGUUUGUGCUAUUUGAUUGCAGGGUUCUUACUUUGGCGGGUGGAUUAUAACUCUUUUCCAGAAGACCCAUGUGGGCCUCCUCCAAGGCUGGCCUUCCCCGUAAGCCCUGCCUACGCUGUGUUCCAGUAAACCUUUCCAUCAGGAGCUCUUGUGUUCAGCUGCCAUAGGUGUGGGGGUCCCCUAGCCUGUCACACAGUUGUUCAGAAUGUGAGUUUUGGGCAAUAAACCAGUGUACGCUUGGCAAAAAA